GAUGAACGCUGGCGGCGUGCCUAAUACAUGCAAGUCGAGCGAACAGACGAGGAGCUUGCUCCUCUGACGUUAGCGGCGGACGGGUGAGUAACACGUGGAUAACCUACCUAUAAGACUGGGAUAACUUCGGGAAACCGGAGCUAAUACCGGAUAAUAUAUUGAACCGCAUGGUUCAAUAGUGAAAGACGGUUUUGCUGUCACUUAUAGAUGGAUCCGCGCCGCAUUAGCUAGUUGGUAAGGUAACGGCUUACCAAGGCAACGAGGCGUAGCCGACCGGAGAGGGUGAUAGGCCACACUGGAAGUGAGACACGGUCCAGACUCCUGAGGGAGGCAGCAGUAGGGAAUCUUCCGCAAUGGGCGAAAGCCUGACGGAGCAACGCGGCGUGAGUGAUGAAGGUCCUCGGAUCGUAAAACUCUGUUAUUAGGGAAGAACAAAUGUGUAAGUAACUAUGCACGUCUUGACGGUACCUAAUCAGAAAGCCACGGCUAACUACGUG
rnacentral:rRNA from 1 species